UACGUAGGGUGCGAGCGUUUAAUCGGAAUUACUGGGCGUAAAGGGCGCGUAGGCGGCUUGGCAAGUGGAAGGUGAAAUCCCUCGGCUUAACCGAGGAACUGCCCUCCAAACUGCUUUGCUUGAGGCCGGGAGAGGUGAGUGGAAUUCCCAGUGUAGCGGUGAAAUGCGUAGAUAUUGGGAGGAACACCAGUGGCGAAGGCGGCUCACUGGACCGGUUCUGACGCUGAUGCGCGAAAGCGUGGGGAGCAAACGGG
rnacentral:rRNA from 1 species